UGAGUAACGCGUAUCCAACCUUCCCUAUACUAGAGGAUAGCCCGGCGAAAGUCGGAUUAAUACUCUAUGUUCUUCGUAGAAGACAUCUGAAAUGAAGCAAAGGUUUACCGGUAUAGGAUGGGGAUGCGUCUGAUUAGGUUGUUGGCGGGGUAACGGCCCACCAAGCCCACGAUCAGUAGGGGUUCUGAGAGGAAGGUCCCCCCACAUUGGAACUGAGACACGGUCCAAACUCCUACGGGAGGCAGCAGUGAGGAAUAUUGGUCAAUGGACGAGAGUCUGAACCAGCCAAGUAGCCGUGCAGGAUGACGGCCCUACGGGUUGUAAACUGCUUUUAUACAGGGAUAAAGUGCACUACGUGUAGUGUUUUGUAGGUACUGUAUGAAUAAGGACCGGCUAAUUCCGUGCCAGCCGCGGC
rnacentral:rRNA from 1 species